GAGAGAUUUUGUUUCAUGCCACCAAGAAUGGGGAAGGAGAAAGCCAGACAGAAGACAGGAAAUAAGAGAGAAAAGGAGAGAAAGAAAAACACUGUAGAAACACGAUGUGUUGUUCCCAACCUCUGCCCCAAUGACAUAUUUGCUCAUUCAUUUGAACAUGUACCUGGAAUUAAUUUUAGUUCCAGCAGACAAAGGAGAAUAAUACCUGGAUGAUUUCAGGCAUUUAUUUCACCUUGACCGUAGUUUGAAUGAGUAGAAAAUAACUUUCAGACCAGGCAACUUGGUUGGAAAUGACAAUUUUGUGAUGCCUCUCUCAACCCUUUCCACCACUUUGUGAGAAACACUACUGUUGUCAGCAAGUGACCAGUUUGUGUGACUUCCCACUGGGUUCCAGCCGGCACACCCAACCUCUUCAGGACCUGUGAGUAAUAAAUUUAUUUUGUUUUAUGCAUGUUGGUUUUACCUCCUCUUUGUGUCUCACCUGACACACACACCUGAACCUUCCUUCCUUCCCAUUAGGGCUCUCCUAGACAGUGAUUAUCUUGGCACAUUGCCACGGUCAAGAGCGACACCUCAAGACCAAAUUAGAAACAGUCACAAUAGCUUCACUUCUGUCAAUGGUUCAGCCUGAGCAACAGGCAUAAACUUCAUUUUUCUUCACCUGAUACUCUCUGAUUCAACACCCUACAUUUCUGCCAGGCUUGUGUGGUCUCUUUAGAAUGGCCAUACUCUAAAAAAAUUGCAAAUGGAACUGCAAAUCCACUACCUGUGUGUCUUCGGACCAGCCAUGUCACUUUUGGAUUUCUCACUUAUGAGAUGCAGUAAUUGCCAGUUGCUCUCCCAAGCCUAAAGUACAAUGCCUUUUACCACAGUUAUUGAUGAACACUUAUCUGAAUUAAAAGGAACUUAGCAUCUUCUUAAC
rnacentral:lncRNA from 10 species